rnacentral:rRNA from 1 species
UUCCGGUUGAUCCUGCCAGACCUGACUGCUAUCGGAUUGAUACUAAGCCAUGCGAGUCAUUGUAGCAAUACAAGGCAUACGGCUCAGUAACGCGUAGUCAACCUAACCUAUGGACGGGAAUAACCUCGGGAAACUGAGAAUAAUGCCCGAUAGAACAUUAUACCUGGGAUGGUUUAUGUUCCAAAUGAUUUAUCGCCGUAGGAUGGGACUGCGGCCUAUCAGUUUGUUGGUGAGGUAAUGGCCCACCAAGACUAUUACAGGUACGGGCUCUGAGAGGAGUAGCCCGGAGAUGGGUACUGAGACACGGACCCAGGCCCUAUGGGGCGCAGCAGGCGAGAAAACUUUGCAAUGUGCGAAAGCACGACAAGGUUAAUCCGAGUGAUUUCUGCUAAAGAAAUCUUUUGUUAGUCCUAGAAACACUAACGAAUAAGGGGUGGGCAAGUUCUGGUGUCAGCCGCCGCGGUAAAACCAGCACCUCAAGUGGUCAGGAUGAUUAUUGGGCCUAAAGCAUCCGUAGCCGGCUCUGUAAGUUUUCGGUUAAAUCUGUACGCUCAACGUACAGGCCGCCGGGAAUACUGCAAAGCUAGGGAGUGGGAGAAGUAGACGGUACUCGGCAGGAAGUGGUAAAAUGCUUUGAUCUAUCGAUGACCACCUGUGGCGAAGGCGGUCUACUAGAACACGUCCGACGGUGAGGGAUGAAAGCUGGGGGAGCAAACCGGAUUAGAUACCCGGGUAGUCCCAGCUGUAAACUAUGCAAACUCAGUGAUGCAUUGGCUUGUGGCCAAUGCAGUGCUGCAGGGAAGCCGUUAAGUUUGCCGCCUGGGAAGUACGUACGCAAGUAUGAAACUUAAAGGAAUUGGCGGGGGAGCACCACAAGGGGUGAAGCCUGCGGUUCAAUUGGAUUCAACGCCGGAA